rnacentral:rRNA from 1 species
UAGGGAAUCUUCCGCAAUGGGCGAAAGCCUGACGGAGCAACGCCGCGUGAGUGAUGAAGGUCUUCGGAUCGUAAAACUCUGUUAUUAGGGAAGAACAACUGUGUAAGUAACUAUGCACGUCUUGACGGUACCUAAUCAGAAAGCCACGGCUAACUACGUGCCAGCAGCCGCGGUAAUACGUAGGUGGCAAGCGUUAUCCGGAAUUAUUGGGCGUAAAGCGCGCGUAGGCGGUUUUUUAAGUCUGAUGUGAAAGCCCACGGCUCAACCGUGGAGGGUCAUUGGAAACUGGAAAACUUGAGUGCAGAAGAGGAAAGUGGAAUUCCAUGUGUAGCGGUGAAAUGCGCAGAGAUAUGGAGGAACACCAGUGGCGAAGGCGACUUGCUGGUCUGUAACUGACGCUGAUGUGCGAAAGCGUGGGGAUCAAACAGG